GAUGAACGCUGACAGAAUGCUUAACACAUGCAAGUCAACUUGAACUUCGGUUUGGGUGGCGGACGGGUGAGUAACGCGUAAAGAACUUACCUCACAGAUAGGGACAACAUUUGGAAACGAAUGCUAAUACCUGAUAUUAUGAUUUUAGGGCAUCCUAGGAUUAUGAAAGCUAUAUGCGCUGUGAGAGAGCUUUGCGUCCCAUUAGCUAGUUGGAGAGGUAACGGCUCACCAAGGCGAUGAUGGGUAGCCGGCCUGAGAGGGUGAUCGGCCACAAGGGGACUGAGACACGGCCCUUACUCCUACGGGAGGCAGCAGUGGGGAAUAUUGGACAAUGGACCAAGAGUCUGAUCCAGCAAUUCUGUGUGCACGAUGAAGUUUUUCGGAAUGUAAAGUGCUUUCAGUUGGGAAGAAAAAAAUGACAGUACCAACAGAAGAAGUGACGGCUAAAUACGUGCCAGCAGCCGCGGUAAUACGUAUGUCACAAGCGUUAUCCGGAUUUAUUGGGCGUAAAGCGCGUCUAGGUGGUUAUAUAAGUCUGAUGUGAAAAUGCAGGGCUCAACUCUGUAUUGCGUUGGAAACUGUGUAACUAGAGUACUGGAGAGGUAGGCGGAACUACAAGUGUAGAGGUGAAAUUCGUAGAUAUUUGUAGGAAUGCCGAUGGGGAAGCCAGCUUACUGGACAGAUACUGACGCUGAAGCGCGAAAGCGUGGGUAGCAAACAGG
rnacentral:rRNA from 1 species